CAGUAGGGGGCAGCUUAACAUGCAAGUCGACGGCAGCACGGGGGCAACCCUGGUGGCGAGUGGCGAACGGGUGAGUAAUACAUCGGAACGUGCCCAGUAGUGGGGGAUAGCCCGGCGAAAGCCGGAUUAAUACCGCAUACGACCUACGGGUGAAAGCGGGGGAUCGCAAGACCUCGCGCUAUCGGAGCGGCCGAUGUCAGAUUAGGUUGUUGGUGAGGUAAAAGCUCACCAAGCCGACGAUCUGUAGCUGGUCUGAGAGGACGACCAGCCACACUGGGACUGAGACACGGCCCAGACUCAUACGGGAGGCAGCAGUGGGGAAUUUUGGACAAUGGGGGCAACCCUGAUCCAGCCAUGCCGCGUGCGGGAAGAAGGCCUUCGGGUUGUAAACCGCUUUUGUCAGGGAAGAAAUCUUCCGGGCCAAUACCCCGGAAGGAUGACGGUACCUGAAGAAUAAGCACCGGCUAACUACGUGCCAGCAGCCGCGGUAAUACGUAGGGUGCAAGCGUUAAUCGGAAUUACUGGGCGUAAAGCGUGCGCAGGCGGUUGUGCAAGACAGGUGUGAAAUCCCCGGGCUUAACCUGGGAACUGCACUUGUGACUGCACAGCUGGAGUACGGCAGAGGGGGAUGGAAUUCCGCGUGUAGCAGUGAAAUGCGUAGAUAUGCGGAGGAACACCGAUGGCGAAGGCAGUCCCCUGGGCCUGUACUGACGCUCAUGCACGAAAGCGUGGGGAGCAAACAGGAUUAGAUACCCUGGUAGUCCACGCCCUAAACGAUGUCAACUGGUUGUUGGGAAGGUUCCUUCUCAGUAACGUAGCUAACGCAUUAAGCGCCCCGCCUGGGGAGUACGGCCGCAAGGUUAAAACUCAAAGGAAUUGACGG
rnacentral:rRNA from 1 species